AACGAACGCUGGCGGCGCGCCUAAUACAUGCAAGUCGAACGAGAAGGUGUAGCAAUACACUUGUACACUGGCGAACGGGUGAGGAAUGCAUGGGCAACCUACCCUCGAGUGGGGAAUAACCAGCCGAAAGGUUGGCUAAUACCGCGUACGCUUCCGGGUCUCCGGAUCCGGAAGGAAAGUCACACCGUGGGUGUGACGCUCAAGGAUGGGCUCAUGUCCUAUCAGCUUGUUGGGAGGUAACGGCUCACCAAGGCAACGACGGGUAGCUGGUCUGAGAGGACGAUCAGCCACACUGGCACUGCGACACGGGCCAGACUCCUACGGGAGGCAGCAGUAAGGAAUAUUGCGCAAUGGGCGAAAGCCUGACGCAGCGACGCCGCGGUGGGGGA
rnacentral:rRNA from 1 species